UACGGGGGGGGCAAGCGUUGUUCGGAAUUACUGGGCGUAAAGGCUCGUAGGCGGCCAACUAAGUCAGACGUGAAAUCCCCAGGCUUAACCUGGGAACUGCGUCUGAUACUGGAUGGCUUGAAUUCGGGAGAGGGAUGCAGAAUUCCAGGUGUAGCGGUGAAAUGCGUAGAUAUCUGGAGGAAUACCGGUGGCGAAGGCGGCAUCCUGGACCGACAUUGACGCUGAUGAGCGAAAGCUAGGGGAGCAAACGGG
rnacentral:rRNA from 1 species